UGAGUGCGAGCUGCUACGGCAGCGAAGUUGGUGACGUCAAGCUUCCAAGAAAAGCCCUAUACCCGUUAAGGCAUCAUGGCCUGUACCCGAAACCGACACAGGUGGGGUGGUAGAGAAUACCGAGGGGCGCGAGGUAACUCUCUCUAAGGAACUCGGCAAAAUGGCCCCGUAACUUCGGGAGAAGGGGUGCCACCGCAAGGUGGUCGCAGUGAAGAGGCCCAGGCGGCUGUUUACCAAAAACACAGGUCUCCGCUAAGUCGCAAGACGAUGUAUGGGGGCUGACGCCUGCCCAGUGCCGGAAGGUUAAGGAAGCUGGUCCGCGCAAGCGAAGCUGGCGACUGAAGCCCCGGUGAACGGCGGCCGUAACAAUAACGGUCCUAAGGUAGCGAAAUUCCUUGUCGGGUAAGUUCCGACCCGCACGAAAGGCGUAACGAUCUGGGCGCUGUCUCGGAGAGAGGCUCGGCGAAAUAGAAUUGUCUGUGAAGAUGCGGACUACGUGCACCCGGACAGAAAGACCCUAUGAAGCUUUACUGUAGCUUGGUAUUGUGCCCGGGCUCUGAAUGCGCAGGAUAGGUGGGAGGCUUUGAUCAUCGGCUUGCGGGUCGAUGUGAGCCAACGGUGAGAUACCACUCUUUCAGAGCUAGGGUUCUAACAGUCACCCGUUAUCCGGGGACUGGACAGUAUCAGGUGGGCAGUUUGACUGGGGCGGUCGCCUCCUAAAAGGUAACGGAGGCGCGCAAAGGUCUGCUCAGGCUGGUUGGAAAUCAGCCGACGAGUGUAAAAGCAGAAGCAGGCUUGACUGUGAGACCUACAAGUCGAACAGGGAGGAAACUCGGCUUUAGUGAUCCGACGGUUCUGCGUGGAAGGGCCGUCGCUCAACGGAUAAAAGUUACUCUAAGGAUAACAGGCUGAUCUCCCCCAAGAGUUCACAUCGACGGGGAGGUUUGGCACCUCGAUGUCGGCUCAUCGCAACCUGGGGCUGAAGUCGGUCCCAAGGGUUGGGCUGUUCGCCCAUUAAAGCGGUACGCGAGCUGGGUUCAGAACGUCGUGAGACAGUUCGGUCCAUAUCCGGUGCAUGCGCAGGAAUAUUGAGAGGAGUUCUCCCUAGUACGAGAGGACCGGGAGGAACGCACCUCUGGUGUACCAGUUAUCGUGCCAACGGUAAACGCUGGGUAGCCAUGUGCGGAGAGGAUAACCGCUGAAAGCAUCUAAGUGGGAAGCCCACCUCAAGAUGAGUAUUCCCAUGGCGUUAGCCAGUAAGGUCACGGGAAGAACACCCGUUGAUAGGCUCUAUGUGGAAGCGCAGUAAUGCGUGAAGCAGAGGAGUACUAAUAGACCGAGGGCUUGACC
rnacentral:rRNA from 1 species